UACGGAGGGAGCUAGCGUUGUUCGGAAUUACUGGGCGUAAAGCGCACGUAGGCGGCUAUUCAAGUCAGAGGUGAAAGCCCGGGGCUCAACCCCGGAACUGCCUUUGAAACUAGAUAGCUAGAAUCUUGGAGAGGUCAGUGGAAUUCCGAGUGUAGAGGUGAAAUUCGUAGAUAUUCGGAAGAACACCAGUGGCGAAGGCGACUGACUGGACAAGUAUUGGCGCUGAGGUGCGAAAGCGUGGGGAGCAAACAGG
rnacentral:rRNA from 1 species